rnacentral:tRNA from 1 species
GCUCCUGUAGUUCAACUGGAUAAAACAAUGGUUUCCUAAACCGUAGUUCUGGGUUCGAGUCCCGGCGGGAGUACCA